rnacentral:rRNA from 1 species
GCCAAAAAUUUAGCCCCAGACCCCGCCCACCCCACACAAACAAUUAAAAUAUUUUACCACUUAGUAGAGAUGAUCAAAAAUUUAACAAGAGCUACACUAAAGUACCGCAAGGGAAAAAUGAAAUAACUGAAAAAUAUAAAGCACAAAAAAAUAAAGACUAUAUCUUGUACCUUUUGCAUCAUGAUUUAACUAGUCUAACCAAGCAAAAAGAACUUUUAGUUUGGCCCCCCGAAACUGAGUGAGCUACUCUAGGACAGCUUAUUGAGCAAACCCUUCCCUGUUGCAAAAGGGUGGGAAGAUCCUAUAGUAGAGGUGACAAACCUAUCGAACCCAGUGAUAGCUGGUUACUCAAGAAAAGAAUUUUAGUCCAACCUAAAGCACCCUAAUAAAUCAAAUUAAUUAAAUUACUACUUUAGAGCAAUUCAAAUAAGGUACAGCCUAUUUGAAACAGGAUACAACCUCCAACAACGGCUAAUUUACACUAUGACUGAACUAAGUAGGCCUAAAAGCAGCCAUCUUAAAAAAGCGUCAAAGCCUAAUUCUACCCACCCCAAAUACCUAAAACCUAACAGAGCCCUUCAUUAGUAUUGAGUACUUCUAUACCCCUAUAGAAAUUUUUAUGUUAAAACUAGUAACAAGAAAACACUUCUCUUUAAUGCAAACGUAAAUCAGAAUGGACCCCCACACUGAUAACUAUCCACCCCGGCAGCAACUUCCAUGAAAACCCUGCCCCCCCCCCCGUUAACCUAACACAAGAACAUUACAAGAACGAUUUAAAGAAAAAGAAGGAAUUCGGCAAAUAUUGACUCCGCCUGUUUACCAAAAACAUCGCCUCCUGACAAUCAUAAGAGGUCCAGCCUGCCCAGUGACACCAGUUCAACGGCCGCGGUAUCCUGACCGUGCGAAGGUAGCGUAAUCACUUGUCUUCUAAAUUAAGACUAGUAUGAAGGGCACCACGAGAAUCAAACUGUCUCCUUUCUCUAAUCUGUGAAACUAAUCUCCCCGUGAAGAAGCGGGGAUUCUAAUAUAAGACGAGAAGACCCUGUGGAGCUUAAGACAAAAGUACUAUUGCCCCAAACAUCUUAGUAUUAAGUCUUAGGUUGGGGCGACCACGGAGUAAAAACUACCCUCCAUGCUGAACGGAACCUCCUUAAACAAGAGCCACAGCUCUAUGAAUCAACAAAUUGACACACUUGACCCAAUUAAUUGAUCAACGAAACAAGUUACCCCAGGGAUAACAGCGCAAUCCACUUCAAGAGCCCCUAUCAACAAGUGGGUUUACGACCUCGAUGUUGGAUCAGGGUAUCCCAGUGGUGCAGCCGCCACUAAAGGUUUGUUUGUUCAACAAUAAAAACCCUACGUGAUCUGAGU